rnacentral:rRNA from 1 species
GCACAAGCAGCGGAGCGUGUGGUUUAAUUCGUUGCUACACGAAGAACCUUACUGGGUUUGACAUAGCAGUGGUAGGGAAGAGAAACUCGGACCGACCUUCGGGGAGCUGUUACAGGUGUUGCAUGGCUGUCGUCAGCUCGUGUCGUGAGAUGUUCGGUUAAGUCCGCUAACGAGCGCAACCCGCGUUGUGUGUUAUAUGUGUCACACAAUACCGCCGGUAUUAAGCCGGAGGAAGGUGCGGAUGACGUCAAGUCAGCAUGACCUUUAUAUCCAGGGCUACACACACGCUACAAUGGACAGUACAACAGGUUGCCAAGCCGCGAGGCGGAGCCAAUCCUCUAAAGCUGUCCUCAGUUCAGAUUGCAGGCUGCAACUCGCCUGCAUGAAGUUGGAGUUGCUAGUAACCGCAGGUCAGCUAUACUGCGGUGAAUACGUUCCCGGGGAUU